UACGUAGGGGGCAAGCGUUUGUCCGGAAUCAUUGGGCGUAAAGCGCGCGUAGGCGGCCCGGUAAGUCCGUUGUGAAAGUCAAGGGCUCAACCCUUGAAUGCCGGCGGAUACUGUCGGGCUAGAGUCCGGAAGAGGCAAGUGGAAUUCCCGGUGUAGCGGUGAAAUGCGCAGAUAUCGGGAGGAACACCUAUGGCGAAGGCAGCUUGCUGGGACGGGUACUGACGCU
rnacentral:rRNA from 1 species